GAGUUCCGGGCCAUGAUGGAGAACGCGGCUUAGGCGCGCACCAGCUACGACACCGGGUUUCCAGUACUAUACCAGUUUAGUGUUUAAUUAAAUUACUGGAAUACCGUUUAUUACUUUCUUUGAUUACUCGUUUUGUCGAUCGGAAAAGUUGGCUGAUGACUUUCUGAUAAUCACCUUUUGUCCAUCCUGUUGAGUGUCUGAGUUUCAUGUCCUCGGUUAGCAAAGUGUUUGUUUAACCAGUCCAAUAAUAUUCUUUGCAAGCACUCCAUCCGUUUUAUAUUACGG
rnacentral:lncRNA from 1 species